CCUACGGGUGGCAGCAGUGAGGAAUAUUGGUCAAUGGACGAGAGUCUGAACCAGCCAAGUAGCGUGAAGGAUGACUGCCCUAUGGGUUGUAAACUUCUUUUAUAUGGGAAUAAAAUGUUCCACGUGUGGGAUUUUGUAUGUACCAUAUGAAUAAGGAUCGGCUAACUCCGUGCCAGCAGCCGCGGUAAUACGGAGGAUCCGAGCGUUAUCCGGUGUUAUUGGGUUUAAAGGGAGCGUAGGUGGAUUGUUAAGUCAGUUGUGAAAGUUUGCGGCUCAAACGUAAAAUUGCAGUUGAAACUGGCAGUCUUGAGUACAGUAGAGGUGGGCGGAAUUCGUGGUGUAGCGGUGAAAUGCUUAGAUAUCACGAAGAACUCCGAUUGCGAAGGCAGUUCACUGGACUGCAACUGACACGGAGGCUCGAAAGUGUGGGUAUCAAACAGGAUUAGAUACCCUAGUAGUC
rnacentral:rRNA from 1 species